UACAGAGGGUGCGAGCGUUGUUCGGAAUUAUUGGGCGUAAAGGGCGCGUAGGCGGUGCGGUAAGUCACCUGUGAAAUCUCCUGGCUCAACUGGGAGCUUGCAGGCGAAACUGCCGUGCUGGAGUGUGGGAGAGGUGCGUGGAAUUCCUGGUGUAGCGGUGAAAUGCGUAGAGUAUCAGGAGGAACACCUGUGGCGAAAGCGGCGCACUGGACCACAACUGACGCUGAGGCGCGAAAGCUAGGGGAGCAAACAGG
rnacentral:rRNA from 1 species